rnacentral:lncRNA from 1 species
AUAUAUGACCCUGUCACAGGGAACAUGUGGUCAUAGUUCCUGGCUGUUGAGUUGAGUCUAAUAAAUUAAAAGAAAUGAAGAUAUGAACGAUAUUUGGUUUUGACACUGCAUGUUUUCAUAAAUGAAAAAUGAAAUAGAGAACUAAUUGAACUUCGACCUAGUUAUGUUGAGGACUCCGCCAACGGGGGUAGAUACGUUGGCAAUUGACCGUCCUGAAGGACUCACCGCAAGAAGAUUAGUCGAUGUUUAUAAUCCUGCAACAGGGAACAUAUGGUCAUAGUCCAAGAUUGACA